GGUCCUAUGGGGUAGUGGUUAUCCCACCGGAUUUUGAUGAACAGUAUAUAAACAAUUAUAUAUAAAAGAAGUCAAAGUUUCCGGUAACGCCGGUUCGAAUCCGGCUAGGACCU